CUUCACGGCCCAACGUAUCCUUCCCAAGAUUCAUUGCGCACUCAAUCAAUGGAGUUGGCGGAGAAUGGCGAUUUAAGUUUUGCAUUUAAAUGGAGCCAGCAGCAUACUGCUCGAUUUAUUCUAUAGAGGGGGGAGAACGAUGAGCUGUUCACCGGGGUGAAAUACUCAGCAAGUGUGGCUUGGGGGACAAUUCUGGAGAAAAUAGGCCUGCAGGGGAAGGUGACUCCCCUGCAGGCAAAGAAAAAAUGGG